GGAGGCUUCAAGGAGAACAUAUCCUUAGCUUGCUCAUUCCUUCACAGAGCCACUGUUAUUUCUGGAGGCUGCUGCAGCAGGUGUCUCUACUUUGCAAGGGUGUAAAAUUGAGUGGAGGACGAGACUACGGGCGUCUGACCCGAGCCCGCAGACAUCCACCCUGCAGGAGAAACAGAUGAAGCCGGCCUAAUGUCUGAUCGGGCAAGGCCAACCUUUUCAGGUUAAACUGGAUUCAAGUUCAAGCACCCAGAGCGCUGCAGGCAAAGUUGAGUGCUUGGAAAGAAGAUAAAAAUAUGACUAAUGAAGACUUCAUCACUUAUGAGGCUUUCAUAACAAAUCCAGGGAUCAAACGCUUGAUUUAACAUCGCCACCUAACAAGAAAACCUUAUUCACUGCCACGUUAUAACAAAGUGUUAAUAUCUGAAAUUAAUGUUGCGAUUUAAGUGUGUUUGUGUUACAAAAUUUGCAAUUUAUGCG